UCCGGCUUAUGGCACGGCAGUCUCCUGAAAAAUAUAUAAUUCAGGACGAGGGUUGCGCUCGAUCACGGACUUAACCGUACACCUCAAGGCUCGAGCUGACGACAACCAUGCAGCACCUGUCUUAGCGCUCCCUUGCGGGCACCCCUACAUUUCUGUAAGGUUCGCUAGAUGUCAAGACCUGGUAAGGUUCUUCGUUUGCUGUCGAAUUGAACCACAUGUUCCACCGCUUGUGUGGGCCCCCGUCUAUUCCUUUGAGUUUUAGCCUUGCGGCCGUACUACUCAGGCGGAGAACUUAACGCGUUAGCUAAGGCACAGGCAGGAUCGACUCCGCCUACACCGAGUUCUCAUCGUUUAGGGCGUGGACUA
rnacentral:misc_RNA from 1 species